rnacentral:rRNA from 1 species
AUUGAACGCUGGCGGCAUGCCUUACACAUGCAAGUCGAACGGUAACGGGCCUUCGGGUGCCGACGAGUGGCGCACGGGUGAGUAAUACAUCGGAACGUGCCCGAUCGUGGGGGAUAACGAGGCGAAAGCUUUGCUAAUACCGCAUACGAUCUACGGAUGAAAGCAGGGGACCGCAAGGCCUUGCGCGGACGGAGCGGCCGAUGGCAGAUUAGGUAGUUGGUGGGAUAAAAGCUUACCAAGCCGACGAUCUGUAGCUGGCCUGAGAGGAUGAUCAGCCACACUGGGACUGAGACACGGCCCAGACUCCUACGGGAGGCAGCAGUGGGGAAUUUUGGACAAUGGGCGCAAGCCUGAUCCAGCCAUGCCGCGUGCAGGAUGAAGGCCUUCGGGUUGUAAACUGCUUUUGUACGGAACGAAAAGCCUUCUUUUAAUACAGGAGGGUCAUGACGGUACCGGAAGAAUAAGCACCGGCUAACUACGUG